GACGAACGCUGGCGGCAUGCCUAAUACAUGCAAGUCGAGCGAACAGAUGAAGUGCUUGCACUUCUGACGUUAGCGGCGAACGGGUGAGUAACACGUAAGGAAUCUACCUAUAAGCGGGGGAUAACAUUCGGAAACGGGUGCUAAUACCGCAUAAUAUCUUCUUCCGCAUGGAAGAAGAUUGAAAGACGGCUCUGCUGUCACUUAUAGAUGACCCUGCGGUGCAUUAGUUAGUUGGUGGGGUAACGGCCUACCAAGACGAUGAUGCAUAGCCGACAUGGGAGGGUGAUCGGCCACAUUGGGACUGCGACACGGCCCAAACUCCUACGGGAGGCAGCAGUAGGGAAUCUUCCGCAAUGGGCGAAAGCCUGACGGAGCAAUGCCGCGUGAGUGAAGAAGGCCUUCGGGUCGUAAAACUCUGUUAUAAGAGAAGAACAAAUUGUAGAGUAACUGCUACAGUCUUGACGGUAUCUUAUCAGAAAGCCACGGCUAACUACGUGCCAGCCGCCGCAGUAA
rnacentral:rRNA from 1 species